rnacentral:rRNA from 1 species
CCUACGGGAGGCAGCAGUGGGGAAUAUUGCGCAAUGGGCGAAAGCCUGACGCAGCGACGCCGCGUGAGGGAUGAAGGUCUUCGGAUCGUAAACCUCUGUCAGCAGGGAAGAACGGUCACUGUGCUAAUCAGCAGUGAAUUGACGGUACCUGCAAAGGAAGCACCGGCUCACACCGUGCUAGCAGCCACGGUAGUACGGAGGGUGCGAGCGUUAAUGGGAAUUACUGGGCGUAAAGCGCUCGUAGGCGGUAUGUCAAGGCAAGGGUGAAAUCCCCGCGCGCAACGUGGGAACUGCCUUUGAAACUGGCCAACUGGAGGGUGGGAGAGGAUAGUGGAAUGCCAGGUGUAGGAGUGAAAUCCGUAGAUAUCUGGAGGAACAUCAGUGGCGAAGGCGACUAUCUGGCACAUAACUGACGCUGAGGAGCGAAAGCGUGGGUAGCAAACAGGAUUAGAUACCCUGGUAGUC